UCCCCUAGUAACGGCGAGUGAAGCGGGAAGAGCUCAAAUUUGAAAUCUGGUGGCCUCAGGUCAUCCGAGUUGUAAUCUAUAGAAGUGUUUUCCGUGCUGGCUCAUGUACAAGUCCCUUGGAACAGGGCGUCAUAGAGGGUGAGAAUCCCGUCCUUGACAUGAACUACCAGUGCUCUGUGAUACAUUUUCAACGAGUCGAGUUGUUUGGGAAUGCAGCUCAAAAUGGGUGGUAAAUUCCAUCUAAAGCUAAAUAUUGGCGAGAGACCGAUAGCGAACAAGUACCGUGAGGGAAAGAUGAAAAGCACUUUGGAAAGAGAGUUAAACAGUAUGUGAAAUUGUUGAAAGGGAAACGAUUGAAGUCAGUCGUGCUCUUUGGAUUCAGCCGGUUCUGCCGGUGUACUUCCUUUGAGUGGGGUCAACAUCAGUUUUGAUCGCUGGAUAAAGGCUGGAGGAACGUAGUACCCUCGGGUAAACUUAUAGCCUCCUGUCACAUACAGUGGUUGGGACUGAGGAACGCAGCACGCCUUUAUGGCCGGGAUUCGUCCACGUACGUGCUUAGGAUGUUGACAUAAUGGCUUUAAACGA
rnacentral:rRNA from 1 species